rnacentral:hammerhead_ribozyme from 1 species
AUCCAGCUGACGAGUCCCAGACAGAAUGAAACGCGCGUAUUGGAU